AUGUCGUAUGCGGAGUGGGCAUGGUUUGCGAGACGACUAACUUCAUGUUUUGGAUAGCGAGAACCCUCCCACCUUUAUCCUCUACAUAGCUUACUGCCAGAAGAAGAAAAGAAACUGCUGUCACUGGGCUUUGUUAUUUACGAAAGGGACAGAAGACUGACGAACAAUCUGUGUGGAUCUCUCACUGUACAGAACGGGAACAGUGAAGUCAAGGACGUCGCAAGCAAGCUACUACUACAUGGCUUUUCCUCUGCUACUGCACAACUUGACAACCCUCUGCUUCGGUUCGGAUCCAUAAAAUGUGCAAGGCUAAACGACAUUUCAUGCAUUGUAGAUAAAGGCGGACAGUCCAGUACACAGACAGUCCGAUAGAGACCAAAGCUUACUUUAUUAUUAGCUGUACUACACUUUCCUUCACAAAUGCUUGUUUCUUUUGAAACGUCCAGCAACUGAAACGGCGCUGAAACAACGGAAGGGGAACUGGGCAUGAUUUAUUGCUAAUAUUUGAUAUCUGCCUUGCUUGCCACAUUGAUAUCUAAUGUGAGUGCCAUUGAUACACUAGCUGCAUCCUAAUUUCAGUGUGCGUGGAUAACAGGAUUACAACUCAAUUGUGACGAAAAUUAAACAAGAGGCAGAUGAACUUUGAUUUGCGGUGCUGGACACUGACGUUCCAGAAGACAUGGUUGGUGGCAGUGCAGUGCUCCAUCGAUGAGUUCGCCCGCAGCCGUUUGAGGAGCCACAGCUAGAAGCCGCCCCCACCUCCCCCCUUCCCCUUCCCCU